ACAUUGGGCACAGAGCCACUCAGUAAACGAAUGUUCACAGCUAUCAUCAUGAUCAGUGGUGUUAUUCCAGUGGCUCGACACUGAGGAAUCAGGAGUGCGGGGCUCUACUGUUUCACUUCCUGUACAGAUCUACAUUCCUACUUUUUUCGGUUCAACAGUAUCACACAAUUUACAAUCUAUUUACAGCCUGCACGGAGAAAAGAAAAAGAAAGGCAACGACCAAGAAAAGAAUUUCUGCAGCCCACUGUACCUUUUGAUAGUACUACAGGCAACCAGCAAAUUCAUAUCAGCUCUACAGUUGCCUAUUGUUAGCUUAGAAUCUUUAGUUUGCCAUUUUAGAAAGCAUCUACGUUGUAGCUGUGGAUUUUCUGACACAAAUGAUAUAAAAUGAGACAAAGGCAAACACCACUCACUUCCCACCCACACGAGAGAAUUUGUGUUGUGAAUUAUUUACUGUAUCUGAUUUUCUUUCACUGCAGAUAUUUUCAUAGCAGGUGUACGAGAUUUCAAAGGCUGAAUCAAAUCUCACUGUGUUUCACAGCUACUUCUACUUAUUAACUCAUACAUGUAUUCCUAAGCCUCGAGCAUAUUAUAGAAUUAUGGUUCACGCUUAUGCACACUUGUUGCCAAAUUAACUGGAAACCCAGACUUUGGGCCUGUUUUAUUACCCCAGACUCCUAGCUGGUCUCCGAGAUGGUAUUCCCUUUGCAAUUUAUCUUGCACGUGUUAUGGAUGACUUGCUGAUGCAGGUCAAUGGGUUUUAGAUACAGUAUAACAAAUCUUGAGACCAGAGUGUUGAAAGGAUUGCAUUUACUCUCAAUUACUGCACAUGAAAUCCUGUACAUUAUGAAAACGUUUUCAUUCUUUCCAGCAA